CCACAGAAACUCCUUUUGACCCUCACCAUGGUCUGGGCCCUGUUUCUCCUCACACUUCUCAGUUACAAUUCAGGUGUCACUUCCUUGUCACCUUGGAAUCAGCCUGCCUCAGAAUCUGUGUCCCGAGGACAAACGGCGACACUGUCCUGCACUACCAACAGUGAAAGACAGCGCAUUUGUUGGUAUCAACAGAAGCCUGGACAGGUUCCCCGCUAUGUACAAUGUGAUGAAUACAGCAGGGGAGAGGGGAUCUCGGACCGAUUCACGGCUUCUGUCUCUGGCAGUAUGGGCUAUUUAACCAUCACCAAUAUCCAGCCUGAAGAUGAGGCAGAUUAUUACUGUGCCAAGUGGUAUGGCAGUGCUAACCAGUUCCACAGUGGUAAAAACUAA